rnacentral:rRNA from 1 species
UACAGAGGGUGCAAGCGUUGUCCGGAAUCAUUGGGCGUAAAGCGCACGUAGGCGGCUUCGCAAGUCGGAUGUGAAAUCCCUCGGCUCAACCGAGGACGUGCAUCCGAAACUGCGGAGCUUGAGUACUGAAGAGGAUCGCGGAAUUCCCGGUGUAGAGGUGAAAUUCGUAGAUAUCGGGAGGAACACCAGUGGCGAAGGCGGCGAUCUGGGCAGAUACUGACGCUGAGGUGCGAAAGCGUGGGGAGCAAACAGG